rnacentral:rRNA from 1 species
CGGGACGGGGUGAGUAAUGUCUGGGAAACUGCCUGAUGGAGGGGGGUAACUACUGGAAACGGUAGCUAAUACCGCAUAACGUCGCAAGACCAAAGAGGGGGACCUUCGGGCCUCUUGCCAUCGGAUGUGCCCAGAUGGGAUUAGCUAGUAGGUGGGGUAACGGCUCACCUAGGCGACGAUCCCUAGCUGGUCUGAGAGGAUGGCCAGCCACACUGGAACUGAGACACGGUCCAG